CGUGUAGGUGGUUCUGUAAGUAGGGCGUGAAAGCUCCCGGCUCAACUGGGAGAGGCCGUUCUAAACUGCAGAGCUAGAGGAUGGUAGAGGGAGGUGGAAUUCCAGGUGUAGCGGUGGAAUGCGCAGAUAUCUGGAGGAACACCAGUGGCGAAAGCGGCCUCCUGGACCAUUCCUGACACUCAGACGCGAAAGCUAGGGUAGCAAACGG
rnacentral:rRNA from 1 species